rnacentral:rRNA from 1 species
GAUGAACGCUGGCGGCGUGCCUAAUACAUGCAAGUCGAGCGAACAGAUGAGGAGCUUGCUCCUCUGACGUUAGCGGCGGACGGGUGAGUAACACGUGGAUAACCUACCUAUAAGACUGGGAUAACUUCGGGAAACCGGAGCUAAUACCGGAUAAUAUAUUGAACCGCAUGGUUCAAUAGUGAAAGACGGUUUUGCUGUCACUUAUAGAUGGAUCCGCGCCGCAUUAGCUAGUUGGUAAGGUAACGGCUUACCAAGGCAACGAUGCGUAGCCGACCUGAGAGGGUGAUCGGCAACACUGGAACUGAGACACGGUCCAGACUCCUACGGGAGGCAGCAGUAGGGAAUCUUCCGCAAUGGGCGAAAGCCUGACGGAGCAACGCCGCGUGAGUGAUGAAGGUCUUCGGACCGUAAAACUCUGUUAUUAGGGAAGAACAAAUGUGUAGUAACUAUGCACGUCUUGACGGUACCUAAUCAGAAAGCCACGGCUAACUACGUG